GGCCGAGGGGAGACGCUCGCUCGCCUCGGGGUGCGGAGGCUGAGCGCUGGAGCGGAGUGGAUCGACUGGCGGCCCCUUGGCGGAGGCACCCAUCCGGCUCUGGGUUCCUGGAGGCUCGCACGGGGACAGACACGGGGCACAGAUCCUGCUGCUCUGGCCCUCAGAGGUACCACUGGAUGAAUUGCUAAAUGGCCACCUGCUUCUGAGCAUUGUUCAAACUGGCGGGAUCCUCAGAGCCAGGAGGUGA